UUGGAGGGCAAGUCUGGUGCCAGCAGCCGCGGUAAUUCCAGCUCCAAUAGCGUAUAUUAAAGUUGUUGCAGUUAAAAAGCUCGUAGUAGAAUUUCGGGAUCAGUAUGUUGGUCGUGCUUCGGUACGUACUGUCAUUACUGGUUUCUCCCUUCUGAAGAACCUUGAUGUCAUUAAUUUGGUGUCUUGGGGAAUCAGGACUGUUACUUUGAAAAAAUUAGAGUGUUUAAAGCAGGCAUACGCUUGAAUACAUUAGCAUGGAAUAAUGAAAUAGGACGUUUGAUUCUAUUUUGUUGGUUUCUAGGAUCGACGUAAUGAUUAAUAGGGAUAGUUGGGGGCAUUAGUAUUCAAUUGUCAGAGGUGAAAUUCUUGGAUUUAUUGAAGACUAACUACUGCGAAAGCAUUUGCCAAGGAUGUUUUCAUUAAUCAAGAACGAAAGUUAGGGGAUCGAAGACGAUCAGAUACCGUCGUAGUCUUAACCAUAAACUAUGCCGACUAGGGAUCGGAUGAUGUUAUUUUUAAUGACUCAUUCGGCGCCUUACGGGAAAC
rnacentral:rRNA from 1 species